GAUGAAGAACGUAGCGAAAUGCGAUACGUAAUGUGAAUUGCAGAAUUCAGUGAAUCAUCGAAUCUUUGAACGCACCUUGCGCCCUUUGGCCAUUCCGAAGGGCAUGCCUGUUUGAGUAUCAUGAACACCUCAACUCUUCAUGGUUUUCCAUGAUGAGCUUGGACUUUGGGGGUCUUGCUGGCCUGUGGGUCGGCUCCUCUCAAAUGAAUCAGCUUGCCGGUUUUUGGUGGGCAUCACAGGUGUGAUAACUAUCUACGCUUGUGGUUUUCCACCAGGGUAACCUUCAGCAGUGGAGGUUCACUGGAGCUUACAAAUGUCUCUCCUCUGUGAGGACAGCCCUUUGAAUGUUUGAUCUCAAAUCAGGUAGGACUACCCGCUGAACUUAAGCAUAUCAAUAAGCGGAGGA
rnacentral:misc_RNA from 1 species